rnacentral:rRNA from 1 species
AGCGAACGCUGGCGGCAGGCCUAACACAUGCAAGUCGAACGAACUCUUCGGAGUUAGUGGCGGACGGGUGAGUAACACGUGGGAACGUGCCUUUUGGUUCGGAAUAACUCAGGGAAACUUGUGCUAAUACCGAAUGUGCCCUUCGGGGGAAAGAUUUAUCGCCAUUAGAGCGGCCCGCGUCUGAUUAGCUAGUUGGUGAGGUAACGGCUCACCAAGGCGACGAUCAGUAGCUGGUCUGAGAGGAUGACCAGCCACACUGGGACUGAGACACGGCCCAGACUCCUACGGGAAGCAGCAGUGGGGAAUCUUGCGCAUUGGGCGAAAGCCUGACGCAGCCAUGCCGCGUGAAUGAUGAAGGUCUUAGGAUUGUAAAAUUCUUUCACCGGGGACGAUAAUGACGGUACCCGGAGAAGAAGCCCCGGCUAACUUCGUG